AUCUCUUCUUGUACUUUUGGCUAAGAUCAAGUGUAGUAUCUGUUCUUAUCAGUUUAAUAUCGGAUAUGCCCUCUACCAAGGGCAAUAAAUUAAAUGGAUUUUUGGAUUCUGUAGUUGGAAUAGGAUCUACUCUGUCCACCCCUUGUAUCGACCUGGUAUGGUAGUACCUCCAGGAACUAUGCACCUCCC